UACGUAGGGUGCAAGCGUUGUCCGGAAUUAUUGGGCGUAGAGAGCUCGUAGGCGGUGUGUCGCGUCGGCCGUGAAAACCUGCAGCUUAACUGUGGGCUUGCGGUCGAUACGGGCAUCACUGGAGUUCGGCAGGGGAGACUGGAAUUCCUGGUGUAGCGGUGAAAUGCGCAGAUAUCAGGAGGAACACCGGUGGCGAAGGCGGGUCUCUGGGCCGAUACUGACGCUGAGGAGCGAAAGCGUGGGGAGCAAACAGG
rnacentral:rRNA from 1 species